UACGAAGGGGGCUCGCGUUGUUCGGAAUUACUGGGCGUAAAGCGCGCGCAGGCGGUCCUUUAAGUCAGGGGUGAAAGCCCAGAGCUCAACUCUGGAACUGCCUUUGAAACUAGAGGACUUGGGUACGGGAGAGGUGAGUGGAAUUCCGAGUGUAGAGGUGAAAUUCGUAGAUAUUCGGAAGAACACCAGUGGCGAAGGCGGCUCACUGGCCCGUUACCGACGCUCAGGCGCGACAGCGUGGGGAGCAAACAGG
rnacentral:rRNA from 1 species